CCCCGGCAACAGGGCCAGCCAGGCACCCGGAGCGGCGCCCUCCAGAAGCUGCUGCACUAAGAGCACUGAAAAAGAAAUGUGGGGUGGAGUGACUGGUGCCUGUGACCUUCAGAACAACAAGGAGAGAACAAAUGGAAGUGCUGAUGUUUCCAGCGACCCUUUCCAAUUGCAGUACUUGCCUUUCUUUCUAGAAAUGACAGGGGAAAAAUCAUGCCAAAUCUGCAGGCGGGCGUGUGCCAACACAGUCAGAGGAGUGACUCAACCCCAACCAGCACUUCCAAACAGAAGUUCUAAAGACGGCUUACAGAACACCUGAAAUCCUUUCUAAAGCACCACCUGACUGGUUUAGUGUGUUUUCUUGUAAAACCUAAAGGCUAGGUGAGUCUUAAGCUGUAUUUUCGAAAACCUUAAACAUCCGCAUGGAGAGUAAUGUUGAGAAUCAACCUCUUCUUUUCCCAUUUAUUUGAAAGCAUUUUAAACUGGUUGAACACUUUUAUCUUUAAGACAACGUGUUUGAAGUGAUAUUUUGGUUCCUAAUUGGCAAAGCCUCAGUUUGUAAAUCUUAAACACCCAAAGGGCCAAAGACUCCCUGUUUGUCAACAGAAUCAAUAUUCUUAGA